rnacentral:rRNA from 1 species
AGAAUCAACGCUGGCGGCGUGCCUAACACAUGCAAGUCGAACGAGAAAGUGGAGCAAUCCAUGAGUACAGUGGCGCACGGGUGAGUAACACGUGACUAACCUACCCUUGAGUUCGGAAUAACUUCGGGAAACCGAGGCUAAUACCGGAUAAUAUCUACGGAUCAAAGGAGCAAUUCGCUUAAGGAGGGGGUCGCGGCAGAUUAGUUAGUUGGCGGGGUAAUGGCCCACCAAGACGAUGAUCUGUAUCCGGCCUGAGAGGGCGCACGGACACACUGGAACUGAAACACGGUCCAGACUCCUACGGGAGGCAGCAGUGGGGAAUUUUGCGCAAUGGGGGAAACCCUGACGCAGCAACGCCGCGUGGAGGAUGAAAUCCCUUGGGAUGUAAACUCCUUUCGAUCGGGACGAUUAUGACGGUACCGGAAGAAGAAGCCCCGGCUAACUUCGUGCCAGCAGCCGC